AAGAAGAGAAGACCCCGGUGAGCUUGAUUAGUUUUAGUUGGGUAGUUAAAAUGAAGUUUUGUUGGGGCAACAGGAAAAGAAAAAGAUUUUUUCUUAUAUAAUGGAGAUCUUCUUUGAGUGAAUUAAGCAAAAGCUACCACGGGGAUAACAGCGCAAUCCUUCUAUAGAGACCAAAUCGAAGGAGGGGUUUGCGACCUCGAUGUUG
rnacentral:rRNA from 1 species